UGGGGAAUAUUGCACAAUGGGCGAAAGCCUGAUGCAGCGACGCCGCGUGAGGGAUGACGGCCUUCGGGUUGUAAACCUCUUUCAGUAGGGACGAAGCGCAAGUGACGGUACCUGCAGAAGAAGCACCGGCUAACUACGUGCCAGCAGCCGCGGUAAUACGUAGGGUGCGAGCGUUGUCCGGAAUUACUGGGCGUAAAGAGCUCGUAGGCGGUUUGUCACGUCGUCUGUGAAAUCCUACGGCUUAACCCUGGACGUGCAGGCGAUACGGGCUGACUUGAGUACUACAGGGGAGACUGGAAUUUCUGGUGUAGCGGUGGAAUGCACAGAUAUCAGGAAGAACACCGAUGGCGAAGGCAGGUCUCUGGGUAGUAACUGACGCUGAGGAGCGAAAGCAUGGGUAGCGAACAGG
rnacentral:rRNA from 1 species